rnacentral:rRNA from 1 species
UACGUAGGUGGCAAGCGUUAUCCGGAUUUAUUGGGCGUAAAGAGAACGCAGGCGGUCUUUUAAGUCUGAUGUGAAAGCCUUCGGCUUAACCGGAGUAGUGCAUUGGAAACUGGGAGACUUGAGUGCAGAAGAGGAGAGUGGAACUCCAUGUGUAGCGGUGAAAUGCGUAGAUAUAUGGAAGAACACCAGUGGCGAAAGCGGCUCUCUGGUCUGUAACUGACGCUGAGAUUCGAAAGCGUGGGUAGCAAACGGG